rnacentral:lncRNA from 1 species
CUGGCGGAUCUUGCUGCCGGAACCACUGAGCUAAAUCCUCAGCCCCUCAUUCUCUUUUGGUAAAAGCAGUGUUAGUGCCCAUCAUGGUGGUACAAAUCUGUAAACAGUUAUGUGAGAGGCUGAGGCAGGAGGCUCGAAAGUUUGAGGCCAGCUUGGGCAAUUGAGUGAGGCCCUGUCUCAGGAAAUAAAAAAUAAAAGCGGCGCUGGGAGUGUAGUUCAGUAGGAAGGUUCUCGAUGCAAUCCCCAGCUUUAAAAAGAACAAUAAGCCAGGGGCUGGGGAGCUGGGGAUGUAGCUCAGUGGUGCUGCCCCUUCCAGGCAUUCCCAAGGUCCUGAGUUCGAUUCCCAUGUACUCAAAAACAAAACAAAGCACUAUGACAAUAUAUAUGCAAAUGUAGGUACAUCCUCCACAUGUGUGCGUGUAUGUCUCCACGUUUCUGUCUGCCAGAGGUUGAAGAAAGCAAGCCAGCCCAUCCAUCUGAAACAUCCUGGAUGCCUGUACCCCGCCAGACGCACCAGACACGGAGGGGAUGAAACUCAGUGGGACUUGGACCCUGGACUCUCCCAUCCUCGUGAGGAGAAAGAGCCGAGGUGGACAUGCCAGCCGGAGCAGCGCUGUGACAAGAACGAGCGGGGAAGACUCCACCGUGUCCAGAGAGGCGGGGAUGGCUUCCCAAGAGACGCGGUUUCUUAGAAGUUCCACAGUAAACAAGAAAACCAGGCAUGGUGGCCACGCCUAUAAUCCCAGUACGGGAGGCUGAGGCAGGAGGAUCCCACAAGUUCCUAACCAGCCUGGGCUCCAUAGUGCAUCCAGGGCCAGUCUUAAAUACAUAGCAAGAGCCUGUCUCAGAAAAAAUAAAAAAAUUAAAAAUAAAUAAACAAGAAAAUUUCAAAUGAAAUGAAACAAGGCUGAGUGACUAAAUGCACAACACAGAGACCAAGCACAAGGAGCCGCCCUCUGCUUCCCUCCCUCUGCACGCACGCGCCUCUCCACUCCAGCACCAUCAGUUCUGGAACUGUAGAUCAGCAGGGUCCCCACUAACUGGCCUAGAGACCCCUUCCUGAGCUGGGCGAAGGAGCACAGCCUAUG